GGCCGACUAGCUCAGCUGGUUAGAGCGUCGUGCUAAUAUAACUUGUCAAGGUGCUGUUACGCGAAGGUCUUGGGUUCGAUCCCCACGUUGGCCA